UACGAAGGGGGGCUAGCGUUGUUCGGAAUUACUGGGCGUAAAGCGCGCGUAGGCGGCCCAGUAAGUCCGUUGUAAAAGUCAAAGGCUCAACCUUUGAAAGCCGAUGGAUACUGCUGGGCUAGAGUCCGGAAGAGGCGAGUGGAAUUCCUGGUGUAGCGGUGAAAUGCGUAGAUAUCAGGAAGAACACCCGUGGCUAAGGCGGCUCUCUAGUACGGUACUGACGCUGAGACGCGAAAGCGUGGGGAGCGAACAGG
rnacentral:rRNA from 1 species